UCGAUGUUUUCGAAUUACGACCUCAACUCAAGCAAGACUACCCGCUGAACUUAAGCAUAUCAGUAACACGACUAACGGCCCAC
rnacentral:rRNA from 1 species